UACGUAGGGUGCAAGCGUUGUCCGGAAUUAUUGGGCGUAAAGAGCUCGUAGGCGGCUUGUCGCGUCGUUCGUGAAAACCCACAGCUCAACUGUGGGCUUGCGGUCGAUACGGGCAGGCUGGAGUUCGGUAGGGGAGACUGGAAUUCCUGGUGUAGCGGUGAAAUGCGCAGAUAUCAGGAGGAACACCGGUGGCGAAGGCGGGUCUCUGGGCCGAUACUGACGCUGAGGAGCGAAAGCGUGGGGAGCGAACAGG
rnacentral:rRNA from 1 species